GACGAACGCUGGCGGCGUGCUUAACACAUGCAAGUCGAACGGAAAGGCCCUGCUUUUGUGGGGUGCUCGAGUGGCGAACGGGUGAGUAACACGUGAGUAACCUGCCCUUGACUUUGGGAUAACUUCAGGAAACUGGGGCUAAUACCGGAUAGGAGCUCCUGCUGCAUGGUGGGGGUUGGAAAGUUUCGGCGGUUGGGGAUGGACUCGCGGGUUAUCAGCUUGUUGGUGGGGUAGUGGCUUACCAAGGCUUUGACGGGUAGCCGGCCUGAGAGGGUGACCGGCGACAUUGGGACUGAGAUACGGCCCAGACUCCUACGGGAGGCAGCAGUGGGGAAUAUUGCACAAUGGGCGGAAGCCUGAUGCAGCAACGCCGCGUGCGGGAUGACGGCCUUCGGGUUGUAAACCGCUUUCGCCUGUGACGAAGCGUGAGUGACGGUAAUGGGUAAAGAAGCACCGGCUAACUACGUG
rnacentral:rRNA from 1 species